rnacentral:rRNA from 1 species
UGGGGAAUUUUGGACAAUGGGCGAANCCUGAUCCAGCAAUGCCGCGUGUGUGAAGAAGGCCUUCGGGUUGUAAAGCACUUUUGUCCGGAAAGAAAAUCCUUGGCUCUAAUACAGUCGGGGGAUGACGGUACCGGAAGAAUAAGCACCGGCUAACUACGUGCCAGCAGCCGCGGUAAUACGUAGGGUGCAAGCGUUAAUCGGAAUUACUGGGCGUAAAGCGUGCGCAGGCGGUUUGCUAAGACCGAUGUGAAAUCCCCGGGCUCAACCUGGGAACUGCAUUGGUGACUGGCAGGCUAGAGUAUGGCAGAGGGGGGUAGAAUUCCACGUGUAGCAGUGAAAAUGCGUAGAGAUGUGGAGGAAUACCGAUGGCGAAGGCAGCCCCCCUGGGCCAAUACUGACGCUCAUGCACGAAAGCGUGGGGAGCAAACAGGAUUAGAUACCCUGGUAGUCCACGCCCUAAAACGAUGUCAACUAGUUGUGGGGAUUCAUUCCUUAGUAACGUAGCUAACGCGUGAAGUUGACCGCCUGGGGAGUACGGUCGC